rnacentral:sRNA from 1 species
AAGUGAGAUGUUUAAAGGAGUGACCAGGUUGACUGUGUGACCGUGAGUAUGAGUGAAUGAAGUAGAAUGAAAAUGGUCAACGUAGUUGAGAAAGUCUAAUAAUGGUGAGUAUUUUAGGAUAUAGUUGUGAUUUAAAAUUUCAGGUGUGGGUCAGUCGGAGUUUGCUGUUGCUGACAUGGUUGACAUGUUUGUUUUACUACUGCCACCAGCAGGAGGAGAUGAGUUGCAGGGUAUCAAAAGGGGUAUAAUCGAGAUGGCAGAUCUGGUAGCUGUAACUAAAUCUGAUGGAGACUUGAUUGUGCCAGCUCGAAGGAUACAAGCGGAGUAUGUGAGUGCACUGAAAUUACUCCGCAAACGUUCACAAGUCUGGAAACCAAAGGUAAUUCGUAUUUCUGCCAGAAGUGGAGAGGGGAUCUCUGAAAUGUGGGAUAAAAUGAAAGAUUUCCAGGACCUGAUGCUUGCCAGUGGGGAGCUGACUGCCAAACGACGGAAGCAACAGAAAGUUUGGAUGUGGAAUCUCAUUCAGGAAAGUGUGUUAGAGCAUUUCAGGACCCACCCCACAGUCCGGGAACAGAUUCCACUACUGGAACAAAAGGUUCUCACUGGGGCCCUGUCCCCAGGACUAGCAGCAGACUUCUUGUUAAAAGCUUUUAAAAGCAGAGACUAAUAAAAUUCAUCCUGUAUAAUAAUUUUACAUAUCAUUUCAUAAAGUAUUUUAAUAGAAAAA